rnacentral:ncRNA from 1 species
UAACAAUUCAAUCUUGCUCCCGCUAACCGAGACCUAUGGGAGAAUAAAUUACGUCUCUAAUACCUUCACCUGAGGGUGGUGAAGGAAUAUUUAAUUCA